rnacentral:rRNA from 1 species
UGGGGAAUCUUGCACAAUGGGCGGAAGCCUGAUGCAGCGACGCCGCGUGGGGGAUGACGGCCUUCGGGUUGUAAACUCCUUUCGCCAGGGACGAAGCCGUGAGGUGACGGUACCUGGAUAAGAAGCACCGGCUAACUACGUGCCAGCAGCCGCGGUAAUUCGUAGGGUGCGAGCGUUGUCCGGAAUUACUGGGCGUAAAGAGCUCGUAGGUGGUUUGUCGCGUCGUCUGUGAAAUUCCGGGGCUUAACUCCGGGCGUGCAGGCGAUACGGGCAUAACUUGAGUGCUGUAGGGGAGACUGGAAUUCCUGGUGUAGCGGUGAAAUGCGCAGAUAUCAGGAGGAACACCGAUGGCGAAGGCAGGUCUCUGGGCAGUAACUGACGCUGAGGAGCGAAAGCAUGGGUAGCGAACAGG